UGAUCUCUGAGAUUCUCCCUCCUGAAGC
rnacentral:piRNA from 1 species